CGAACGGGUGAGUAAUAUCAUCGGAACGUGCCAGUAGUGGGGGAUAGCCCGGGAAAGCGGGAUUAAUACCGCAUACGACCUACGGGUGAAAGCGGGGGAUCGCAAGACCUCGCGCUAUUGGAGCGGCCGAUAUCAGAUUAGCUUGUUGGCGGGGUAAAAGCCCACCAAGGCGACGAUCUGUAGCUGGUCUGAGAGGACGACCAGCCACACUGGGACUGAGACACGGCCCAGACUCCUACGGGAAGGGCAGCAGUGGGGAAUUUUGGACAAUGGGCGCAAGCCUUGAUCCAGCCAUGCCGCGUGUGGGAAAGAAGGCCUUCAGGGUUGUAAACCACUUCUGGUCCAGGGAAGAAACGGCCCUUACUAAUCAU
rnacentral:rRNA from 1 species